GUGGUUUUUUGGAAACUUUACACGUGAUGACAGCAUAGUUCAGAUGAAAUUCUUUGAUUACAUCCUUAUUUUGUCUUUCGCUCCUAACUGAUUAUUGAUAGACCAAGUGUCUGAGCAUCAGUGUCCGUUGGACUGUUUUUAACGAGUUUCUAUUUUCAGGUCAGCCAUGAGCGAGGAGUCUACUCACGUCUACUCAGAAGGAAGCAGCUCUUCAACUGGUUGAAGGCAUUCCUGCAAACGCCCGCCACUCAUUGAGGGUCAGCCAUGAGCGAAGAGUACUCACGUCUACUCAGAAGGAAGCAGCUCUUGAACUGAGGCCCAAUGAAGACGGCACAAGAAAGACAUUGGUAAAUACCUGGUAACCUUUUCUUCUAAGUGAAUAAAUUAAAUAUUCUCAGAAUGUUGCUGUUUUCAUCCUACCAAUCCCUUUAGUUGCUUAUAACAAGGUUCAACAGUUAAUUGUGAAGAACUGUCUUGCAGCCUUAAUUUAUACUGGGCAUGUUUUUCUCACCCUUUUGGCCUUCUUUUCCGUACUCAUUUGACAAAAUUAACAUUCAAGAAAAUGGCGGUUAAGUGUUUCCUUGUGAAUUUCAAAUCGAAAUUUUUUGCUCAAAAUAAGCGAUUUUUUGAUUGGACUAAAUUAACGCCACGCCCAAACCGUCGCAACAUUGCCAAAGCUAUCUUUGAUUGGCGUGUGUGGCGUUUAUAACUGACAGCGCUUGUCAGAUAUUCUAGGUUAAAUCAGGCAGGAAAAUAAAUUUUAAAAUACAAAGCUGCAGCUAAAACUGGUGAAAAGUCUGGGCCGUGUAACUACAGGCCUGUUUUCCGAAGCAGAAUGUCGAUUUUAACGCCUUUCUUUAAGUCGCCCCUGACUGACCUGACUGGGAGCGUCAUAUCUUCGCAAUGGGGCGACGGUCCAUGCCGUGAUAUGGAGAUGAAAGCGCUGGACUGUCUGGAUGCCUACGGUAUACGAAGGGGCGAGGUGAAGUGCGCCGAAUUGAUCAAGAACUUCGAUGAAUGUUCCGUUAAGAUCAAGCAGAUGAACAGGACCACUGCUAUGAGACUGGAACGCCAUCGUCAGCACUUUGCCGGGGAGAGAUCCAAAGAGGACAAGUACAGCAAGAACCCACCCUCGCCCGAGACCUAUUAAAUCCGUGCUGUGUAGUCUUGUUGCUUAAUAUAACUAGGAUUGGAAUUAGGCUGGAGGUUUUAAUCAGACCCACUCAUUGACAAUUGGUAAUAUAUUUUGUACAAAAGGAUUUUGAGGAUAAGUAGAUAUUUAAAAAAUUACAUGAACGGUGCCAAGUAGUGAGUGCGUAUGUGUGUAUUACAUAAAGCUGUGGAACGUU